rnacentral:hammerhead_ribozyme from 1 species
AUGCUGACGAGUCCCAAAUAGGAUGAAAUGCUCAUCUUGCAU